ACACCACAACCCUUAAGGAAAAAACAAAAGUGUGUCUGUGGUAUUGAAGUAUUUAUCUGGUUUAGUGAACUAGCUAAGUGUGUGUGUUCAUUACUGUAAUAUGUCACUGCUGUCAGUCUGUACAAACUGAGUCAUUAACCUUUUCUCCACCUGUUGAUCUAGUUCAAAUUAACUCUGUGUGUGUGUGUGUGUGUGUGUGUGUGUGUGUGUGUGUGUGUGUGUGUGUGCGCGUCUCGAGAGCAUCAGUCCAGCUGAUUAACACACCGCCAAUCAAUUCUCCUGCAGCGUCUGCGCAGACGGACGGGGGUCGGGUUCAGCCGUCCAAUCAGAGCACGGCUGCCGCACGACAUCAUAUCUCAAGGUGACGGUGACCUCUGACCUUUGCCGAUGCUGCGGUGCCUGUCAUUUGUUUCUCACUCCCUCCCCCCCAAAGCAUCUUACAGUCGGCAAACACGACCGAUCGAUCGCGCCGCUCUCCUUCACUCCAUCUCUCCCUCGUUUCUGACCCUUUUUAUCUUCUUCAGGUGCCGUCGGUUCAUUUUUCAUGGGACGAUGCUGCGGUCGUCAUGGCGACAGCACUGAUGCUGAGGGCCUGCGAUGACGGAUGCUCUGCUGCUUAGGACGGAUACGGCUGUGUUCAUGAGUGUGAAGAUCACACAUGUGUCAUUCCCGAGGAAGAAUGAUGCCUCGCCUUCGGCCACAAGAUCUUGCACCUGAAAGAUAUAAAACCGCACCCAGCGUCUCACACUCGUGACUCACCGUUUCCCGCCUCCCUCGACAAGACAGAAAUUACCCUCAAACUGAUUCUACGAUCAAUAACAACAUGCCCACCAAUCAAGAGCGCCGACCCGGGGUUAAGAUCCAAUCAGCAGCUCACACUCCUCCUGCUUCAAGAGUCUGAGCAGACGCAAACAAACAAGACGUUUACAGGUCUGAGGAGAGACACACAAACCAGACGUUAUUCAUAGAAACACGAACAAAGAUUUGAAAUAAAUAUGAUUCUGAGAUGUAUUCUUUGUUAUGAUUUUAUUUACUUAUCUAUUUAUUGCAAAUAUAUAUGCUAAGAAAUGUACAUAAAUUAGAUAUAAAAAUAGAUGUAUGGAAGAACAGUGGAAAAUAGAUCAUAGGUGAACAGUGAAGCCUAUUUAUAAAUAUCCACUAGAGAAUGACUGCUUAUGCUAUUAAUAACACUGAUGCAAUGGUGUGAUUUACAGCAGUGAGAAUGAGGCCGUAAACACGAGAUCCCACCGUCAGAAAUGAAAGUGAAUGUCUCUAACUGCCCGUGUGCAAAAGGUCACGCUUGUUCCCGUGGAGACGGGCCUUUAGAAUGCAGCUGUCAAUCAUAGCUGUUGCUACUGGAGACAGACGAGAGAAAUAGAUCUGAAAACAGAAGAAAGGCACACUAGAGUGAGUCCAGUUUGGACCGUGGUUGUUUUUCACUGCAUUUAAAGCAGUAAGCCUCCUUUACUAAAGUAAAAUCACCAACACAUGGCCUCAAAAAUAAUGGUCACAUGGCCUUUCAUAAAAAUUUCACACAAUCAUAUAUGCUUUAAAA